CUCCUCCACUCUCUCCAUAACUUCUCUUUUCCUCCAGUUCUCCAUCUCCCUCCACUGACACCAUUUGACCACCGCAGGUGUUCUCCUCCACCAUUCGAUCGUUGCCGGCAAUGGCUCCUUGACUCCUCCCCUCUUCACGCUUCCUCUCCAUUGCCACUCCAAUGCCAGCGGCACGAAUCAAGGUGUCGUGGCGCAGAUUGAAGCUUCGGCGGCGUGGAUCUACGCAGCAAGGUUCCUAGCGCCG
rnacentral:lncRNA from 1 species